rnacentral:rRNA from 1 species
GCUACACAUGCAGUCGAGCGAGAAGGGAGCAAUCCCAGUAAAGCGGCGCACGGGUGAGUAACACGUAGAUAAUCUACCUUUGGGUCUGGGAUAACUCUUCGAAAGAAGUGCUAAUACCGGAUAAGCUCACAGGGUCUUCGGACCCAGUGGGAAAAGUAGGCCUCUAUUUAUAAGCUUACACCUGAAGAUGAGUCCGCGGCCCAUCAGCUAGUUGGCGGGGUAAUGGCCCACCAAGGCAACGACGGGUAGCUGGUCUGAGAGGACGAUCAGCCACACUGGAACUGAGACACGGUCCAGACUCCUACGGGAGGCAGCAGUGGGGAAUUUUCCACAAUGGGCGAAAGCCUGAUGGAGCAACGCCGCGUGUGUGAUGAAGGUCUUCGGAUCGUAAAGCACUUUCGACCGGGACGAAAAACCUCUGGCUAACAUCCAGGGGCCUGACGGUACCGGGAGAAGAAGCACCGGCUAACUCUGUGCCAGCAGCCGCGGUAAUACAGAGGGUGCAAGCGUUGUUCGGAAUUAUUGGGCGUAAAGCGCGUGUAGGCGGCUUUGCAAGUCGGGUGUGAAAGCCCACGGCUUAACCGUGGAAGUGCGCCCGAAACUGCAGAGCUUGAGUGUCGGAGAGGAUGGCGGAAUUCCGCAAGUAGAGGUGAAAUUCGUAGAUAUGCGGAGGAACACCGGUGGCGAAGGCGGCCAUCUGGACGACAACUGACGCUGAGACGCGAAAGCGUG